rnacentral:rRNA from 1 species
UACGAAGGCCCCGAGCGUUAUCCGGAAUUAUUGGGCGUAAAGGGUGCGUAGGUGGUUUUGCGCGUCUGUUGUUAAAUGUCACAGCUCAACUGUGUCACCGCAAUGGAUACGGCAAGACUAGAGGGUGCGAGAGGUCUGUGGAACUCACGGUGUAGGGGUGAAAUCCGUUGAUAUCGUGGGGAACACCAAAGGCGAAGGCAGCAGACUGGCGCAUUUCUGACACUGAGGCACGAAAGCGUGGGGAGCGAACAGG